rnacentral:lncRNA from 1 species
AUGCGAUGAGAAUGAUACGAUUCGCACUCUUUGUGUGAUGAAAUGUGCUUCGAAUUUCACAUUUCCGCAGAGGCAUUCAGUAGAUUAAUUUUAUGGCGAUAUACCUUUUUCUUUCUUAGAAGAUGGAACAAGAUGGAGCAAGCUUUCUUUUUUUCUUUUUUUUCAACCUUUUGCUUGGUUUCGUUUAUUCAUGUAGUAGAUGGUGACUUUCUCCGUUUAUGUUGUCGUUUUAAAAGUAUCUAACUGCUUCUGAGAACUGCAGCAGUUGAGGCACACAAAAUGUGAGAGAAAUUCGACUGCAUUCUAGGGUUUGGAAGGUCUGUGAGAGAAGCUGUAGUAAGUAUGUAGUUGUGUUAUAAUUUUCCAGAGUUUUUAAUUUUGAGGAAUAAUGGUUUUAGACAACGACCGCUGGAUUUGUGCUGAAGUACCGUUCGUGCAUCAUAUUCAUGUUUUAAAUUUCAUUUUACAUAUAGCUCGAAGCUUUCAGUACUGAAUCUCACGAGCUCCGAAUGCACAAAUCAAGUCGAAAUCAAUCGCAGCGACCAGGAGAAAAAAGCAGAGCAGCAAACCUCGGAAGCAUGAUCACAUCAAAGGCAGUAUCGAUGAAAAAAUGGUGAAAGAAGGAUCGCAUACCAGAAUAGAGCAACCAACCAGGAGCAACAGAACAUCAUCCGCACUCUCCGCCACUCGAGCUCUCG